rnacentral:piRNA from 1 species
UUUGAGCUUGUGGUAAGGCA